ensembl:lncRNA
GCUCUCCCUCUCGGACUUAAUGACUUCCACAUGGGCCUCUGGCAUCCUGAGCCAAGCCUCCCAGCAUUGUCUGAAAUCUCCAAAUUUAGAAGAAAUAUGAAAAUUGUCAAGCAGCCCUUCCUUAGGGGGUAAAACCAACACUCAGCUGAGCAGCGGCGGGUCAGGGCGCGGGGCCACGUGACAGCACCCCAGCCAAUGGGUCCCCGCGGCGCCCCUGACAGAUGCGCCCGCCGGAGCCUGGCCUCCUUCUCCAGCUCAUAUAAGGUAAAAAGAAAAAGGUUUUCCAGCUUCUGAGCCGCAUGGAAGGAGUUUUCGCCCAGCACUCCCAUGCCAGCUGCUUAAAAAACCCCAGCAGGCAGCGUGGGGCCGCAGUGGCGGUUAUAAUGGGACAGGAGGAGGUGGCGGUUGCGUGCCCACACCCCGUGGUGAUGUGGGAAAGGGCAGCAGGAGCGGCCACUGCAGAGAGGGGAAAGGGCGCAGUGUUGUAACCGCGGGGAGGGCUCUGACGCAGCCCAGCAUUGCCGGCUCGCCCAGCCGGGGACGCGGCUCCGCGGAGCAGAGGCGGAGCCUUGGCCAUGGGAGUACCCAGGGACACAGCCAUCACUGGAGAUGCUGGAGGUGAACAGAGACUGUACAUCCCCGGACAGCGAGAGAAGGGCAGAGCUGGUGUGCCAGCAUACUGCCUGCACUGGUUGCCCUUUGGGCGCUGGCAGCAGCACGCACAAACCCAGCAGCCCCCUGAACAGGGCUGGCUCCCUGGGCAGUGCUGAGCCUGGGGUAGCUUCCUGCUGAAAGCAGUCUGGUCCCUUCCCAAGGAGCUGCUCACAAGGAAUGCAUGGGGCUGGGAGGCUGAGCUCUGCCAUGGGGCAGCGGGCCGUCAGGAGGGGCCUGUGAGCAGUGCUGCCCCAUGGCACUGAGCCCUGUGGCUGUUCCCACACUUGGCCAGUGCUCAGGGCUGGCCUGGCCUGAGCUGGGAGCAGGGACAGCCAGCACUGGCAGAGGCGGCUCCCAGACAUCCCUCCCGGGUGACUCACGCCGUGAUCUGUGCAUGGAGUUUGGGGCACUGUGAGCCUCUUCCCUUUCUUUUCUCCCAAUAAAUCGGGGCUGCGGAGCUGGGGGGUGGCGGCUGGGGGAGCGUGGAGCGAGCAGAGGCUGUGGGUGCCCAUUUCCCAGCUGGGUGCGCUCAGGGGGGGCCAUGCCGGAUGCAGGGAGUCGUGCUGGAGCUGCACCAUCUGCUUCUUGUCAGGCUGCUGGGAGCACCGCGGCUCCAGGGCCGGCAGUGGGACAUGGCUGUGAUGGAUGGUGUGUUUAUCAUGCUCUAGCGCUACUCAGGAUGUUAGUGCUCGCCUGCAAGAGAUGUUUCUGUGCUCGGCUGCUCCCUCCAUCCUCUCCUCCUCCUUCUCUCCCCAGACCCUCUCCCUUGAGCCCACACGGGGGGGUGGGGGUGUCCGUCCCACAGCCUCCAGCCCUGCCUGUGGCUGAGCUCCCAGGACCAGCACUGAAGCCUUCCCACAGAGGAGCUGCAGGCUCCUCUGGUGAGGACAGGAAUGGAGACAGGGACAGGGCUCCGCAGGGCUUGCACAUGCUCCUCAUCCCCCGGGGGACAUAAAGGAACAGAGUGCAGGGAGAAUGUACUGUGUGAGACCUGCAUCCCACAUCACCUCGGGGGCAUCCUGGCCCCAUACUGUACAGCCACCCCAGCAGCCACAUCCAUGUAGUUUGAGACUACAGGCAGUGACUCCCCAGUGCUGGGCCAGGUUCCGGGUCCUACGGCCCCACAGACGCACAGUUGGGAUGCGGCAGUGGGCGGUGUGCAGCCCUUCUCCAAGCACAGAGGUUUAUCUGUGCGAUGCCGCAGCCAGCCCAGCCCCAUCCCCCCCACCAGCCCCCAGCCUCAUCUAUCCUGCAGCCGCGAUGCCUGGCAGAACAGCCACACACAGCCAUGCGUGGCACAGCACACAUCGAGAGCAGCUGGGGGCUCCUCCAUGUCUCCCAGCCCAAGGUGCAGUGCUGCAUCUCUGGUCAAUUGGGAGUCUGAGAUGAAGCACUGUAGCUCGGGAAGGGAGGAACUGUGCCCUGGGACCCCACCACCCCCCGGACUGCCGCCUGCUGGGAGCACUGAUGCCAGCGGAACAUGGGAACUGCGCAGUGAGACGGGAGCACAGCUUGUGACUGGAUGUGGGGGUCUGCCCUGCAGCCCCCCCCCCCCCUCUGUCUCUGGGGCUGGGUCCCCAACUGUGGGAGAAGGGGCUCUCCCAGCCGUGUUUUUGGACACUGCCUCUGAUGGAGAAGCACAGAGAACGGAGCCUGCAGACACGCAGCGUGUCCCCCUGAAGAUCCCAUAGGGGCUGCUGACCCCCAGCCAUGGGGCAGGGCUCACCCCUCUGCUCUGUAUCCUGCGAGGGAAGGGCAGAGGAGGAGAGGUUUGCUUUGAGGCAGAGGAACACCCCUACGCCCGGUCAGGACUCCCAGAGCUCCCAGCUCUGUGGGGGGGGGGAGGGCACGAAUGCUGCGUGGGGACAGCUGGGUCACACACAGAGCGGCCAGAGGAGCAGCUGUGCAGGGCGGGGGCCGCUGGGAGCCGCGGUCGCCGUGCUCUCAGGGUCCAGUUUUCCCAGGAAUCCCUUAGGCGCUACGUUGGGGAUUCCUGGAAAUACUGUUCUUGGGGCCACGGCUCUGCACCUGGAGACAGCCCGACCCCGAGCGGAGCCGCAGCCCCGCGGGAGCCAGGGACGAGGUACGGGGCCGCGGCCGCGAGUGGGACCCCCCGGGCGGUCCCGAUGCGGGGCGGUGGAGGGACCGGCCCAGGAAACGCCCCCUCCCGCGGUGCCGGGGCAGACGGCCGACCCCUCGGUCACAGCCCCCUGCGGGCGGACGCCGCCCAGUGCCUUUCACGCCGCUACAGCCCUUCGGUGCCCUCCACGAAGGACGGGGCUGCACGCGCGUCACCGAGCCGCCCCUGUACCAAUAAAGCUGUCGACUCCAAGGAACCGUCGGAGCCGUUUCUCUGGGGCGGGGAGCAGCGCAGGACGCUGCGGGCCGAUGCCGGAACCGCCCGGCCGUGCAGCAAAGCCCGCGGUGAGCCGCGCUCCGCUCCGCUCCGCUCCGCGCAGGGCGGACUGCACCGUGCGGGAGGGAGAGGGGCCGGGAGCAGCGGGCCGGCAGGUGGCGGUGCUGCCCCGGAGCACGCAGUGCGUUUCGAGUGCAGCUGGCGGAGGAGGGGUUAAAUGAUGCCAUGCGGUUUCUCUCUCACACACACACAAAUUAAAAAAAUACUGCACUUAGCGCAGGAAAUGCCAACUCCGCUUUGUUGUUUUUUUUUUUUUUCCCUUUGCUUUUUAAUUGUUUCCUUCUUUCUUUUUCGGCUUUUUUUUUUUUUUUUUCCUUUUCUUCAGCCAGGAUAUUUACUGGAGAGAGAUUCUGUUCGGACCACAUGGACAACCCCUGGCCAAAAAGAGCCGCUGAAGGGCAGAAUUCCCGACCUGCCCCCACCUGCCGCACAACUGCUCCCCUAUGGGGCUCCGCUCCCCACACUGCUGCACACCCACCUGCAGCACAGCCCGGGGCCGCGCGGUGGCUGGGGGCAAACCUCAGGCGGGGGGCACUUGGUGCUCAGUGACCCCAAAUGCUGGGCAUGGGUUGCCAGCAGCUGUGGAGCACUGAGCAGUUUCUCCUGAUAGGAAAACUGAGGCACGGACCCCUGCCUCACCCCAGCAUCCCAUUGUGAUGUGGGACAGGGAGGAGACAUUUGGGGAUGGCGCGUUUUGGGAGGGUUUGUCCUCUCCUUUGCGGAGCAGCAGGACUUGCAGAGCAGAUGCAGGGCUGGGCCUGGCCCCUCCUGCCAGCACUGCACAUCUCAGCCAGCACACUCCAACAGCGGGCGGCUCUCUGGGACUAUUCCUGGGUCACAGGUGUCACCAAAAUGAGAAUUCCCACCUUCCUCCCCCCCCAUCAUCAUCGGUGCUCAGAUACACAAAGCUCCCAGGCGGGGACCUGCUGCCCCAUGCCAGCACAGUCCUCUCAGAGACACCAAGAGGAUCCCAAGGCUUCCACGGGUGGGCAGGACGGUGCGCCGUGUUAAUAACCACAAGGGCAAUCACACCUGCCCUCUGCCAAA